AGCGGCAGACGGGUGCGUAACAUGUGGGAAUCUGCCUUUUGGUUCGGAACAACACGGGGAAACCUGUGCUAAUACCGGAUAAGUCCUUACGGAGAAAGUUUUAAUGCCAAAAGAUGAGCCAGCACUUGAUUAGCUAGUUGGUAAGGUAAUGGCUUACCAAGGCAACGAUCAAUAGCUGUUCUUAGAGGAAGACCAGCCACAUUGGGACUGAGACACGGUCCAGACUCC
rnacentral:rRNA from 1 species